rnacentral:rRNA from 1 species
UACGGGGGGGGCAAGCGUUGUUCGGAAUUACUGGGCGUAAAGGGCUCGUAGGUGGCCAACUAAGUCAGACGUGAAAUCCCUCGGCUUAACCGGGGAACUGCGUCUGAUACUGGAUGGCUUGAGAUUGGGAGAGGGAUGCGGAAUUCCAGGUGUAGCGGUGAAAUGCGUAGAUAUCUGGAGGAACACCGGUGGCGAAGGCGGCGUCCUGGACCAACACUGACACUGAGGAGCGAAAGCCAGGGGAGCAAACGGG